UAGGGAAUCUUGCACAAUGGGCGAAAGCCUGAUGCAGCAACGCCGCGUGAAGGAUGAAGGCCUUCGGGUUGUAAACUUCUGUUCUAAGGGAAGAAACAAAUGACGGCACCUUAGGAGCAAGCCCUGGCUAACUACGUGCCAGCAGCCGCGGUAAUACGUAGGGGGCAAGCGUUAUCCGGAAUUAUUGGGCGUAAAGAGUGCGUAGGUGGUUACCUAAGCGCAAGGUUUAAUUUAGAGGCUCAACCUCUACUUGCCUUGCGAACUGGGCUACUUGAGUGCAGGAGGGGAAAGCGGAAUUCCUAGUGUAGCGGUGAAAUGCGUAGAUAUUAGGAGGAACACCAGCGGCGAAGGCGGCUUUCUGGACUGUAACUGACACUGAGGCACGAAAGCGUGGGUAGCAAACAGGAUUAGAUACCCUGGUAGUCCACGCCGUAAACGAUGAGCACUAGGUGUUGGGCCCGUUAGGGCUCAGUGCCGCAGUUAACGCAAUAAGUGCUCCGCCUGGGGAGUACGCUCGGCAAGAGUA
rnacentral:rRNA from 1 species